rnacentral:lncRNA from 1 species
AAAUCAAAUCAAAGGCUAUGGAAAAUAAUUGAGUUUGCUAAGUCCUAACUGCCAUUUCUUGUGUUUGCUACCUCGCAAAUGGAUCAGCAGAACAAUCUCACGACAUAGCAAAUCCUCCACAUAUGUGACACCAUCAAAUCUCAUUUGGUUCCUCAUUUUCCAGAUUAGUGCAAUAGUAGUAAUGAAUGCAGCAGCUGUAAUCCCUUUAUGCCACUGUCUGCUCUUGGCUAAGCUGCAAAUCCAGUGUAAUUCANNN